CCGCAGCCAUGGAGGAGAUCUCCCAUGGGUCUGCGCUUAGUGCCCGCCGCGAGUCACACGCGCCAGGGACCUAGAGGAGCCUUUGGCAUUUGGGGGCUGUGGGGAACAUGAAGUGAGCGCGACUCACGGCCUGGAGUGCAGGAAAGGCUUCUCCUGCAAGGCGGUGGCUUCAAAAACCAGAAGUCUGGUAGCACCACGUGCGGCGUCUCUAAACUCUUGGUCGUCUCUGACUUUUAAACAUCUAGGGAAAGUUCUAAAACGUGUGUCCUGGCGUAGUAGUUUUGGUUGGCACUUGGUGAGGAGGGAAGAAUUUGUAAAGCACUGUAACUUCUAUAGUUAAUCCUUCCAGUGGAGCUUGGAUCCCGGCGGUAGCACUCCCCACAAACCUCCUCCCAUGCAUUUUGAAGCUUAGUACGUGGCUGAGCCUAGAACUUGAAGCUUCCAAACUCAGUGCUCGCUUUAACGCAGCUCCCUGAAACGUUUUGGAAUCGGAUGGUCUCAGGUUGAACUUUGCAGUUUUCCUCAACUGUAAAAUGGGGAUGACAGUGCAUGAGGGUGUUGUGAGGAUCAAAUGAAAUAAAGCAUGGUAAACAUCUAGUCCUGAUGCUUGGUACAGAACUGAGGCUGAUGUGAAUCCAAAGGCCUAUCCCCUUGCCGAUGCCCACCUCACCAAGAAGCUACUGGACCUCGUUCAGCAGUCAUGUAACUAUAAGCAGCUUCGGAAAGGAGCCAAUGA
rnacentral:lncRNA from 10 species